GGAAAAAAACAAAUAUUAGCUCAUCUCCUCCCAAAUCGCCAUUGGAAGUUUGGUACCUCGUCGGCUCUUCGCCUCUUCCACUCCCCUCCUCCCUCCUCCCUCCUCCCUCUCCACACACACGGCCGGAACAACCCCACUGAAGCCCCCCGGAGUCGGCGGCGGGCUAGGCUCUAUGGGCGUCCCCUCGGCCGCGGGGAGCUGGGACGCCGAGGACGACUUCCUUCUCAAGAACGCCGUCGAGGCUGGUGCGUCGUUGGAAUCCUUGGCUAAAGGGGCUGUAUGCUUUUCCCGCAAAUUCACUCUACAAGAAUUGCAAGAUCGUUGGUGCUCGUUGCUCUAUGAUUCAGAGACCUCAGCACAAGCAUCUGCUCGCAUAGUCGAGUUUGAGACUGUGCUUUCAACCUCCAGUCCCGGCAAAACAAUUAAACGUUUCAACUCAAAGGGAAAAGUUUAUUCAGGACGGAAGCGAAAAAUAGAUAGUGUAAAGUAUCAGUAUUAUUCAAGGAGAAAGAGAGUUUGCCAUGAACCAUGUUUGUCUACAGCUUUUGGUUAUGAUGUUCCACCCUGUUCAUGUACUCAUGAUGGUAGUGGUUGUGUAUGUGGUGGCUUACUUAAACCUUUGGAAGGCCAUCACUUGGCUCAUACCCUUGAUCCUGCAGCAUUGUUGGUAGAUAAUUAUGGACACAUUGAUGACAGCUAUGGCGGAGGACAAAACGUGCACCACAAAGAUAAUCAAAAUUAUUUAUUCCAUGCGAAUCAUGCUAAUGCUGCUGGGAGCAUAUUAAUAGAUGGAACCGUCAAUGAUGAUAUCCUGCAUGGCUGCUCUGAUGUAGGUCAGCCGUAUAAAUGUGGCGAUGUACAAAAGAAUCCUCAGUCAAGUGAAAGAAAUAUUGCCCCUCUAAAAGACCUCCCUGAUCUACAGGAUUAUGUAAACCCUCAGCAACCACUUCUUGGCGAUCAGUAUGGAAAUGGAGUGACAGGAUCGGAGAUUCUUCUGGAUGCUGAACGAAAUGGAGUGAAACAGAAUCAAUUUUCGGAGAGUAGCCAGCAGUUGUGUUCAGGGAUACCUAUGAUACAUGCCUGGAGUAAGUCUGAGGAUGUUAAGUCGGCUGACAUGCUGGUUGAUAUGCAUAAAAAUGAAGAACACAUUACCUUUUUUUGUGACAAGAAAAUGGCAACAUUUAGCAGUGACACAUUUGCAUCUCUGGUGAAUGGCAUAUCUGAUUCUGGUUUAGACAAUGCAUCAUUAUCAGAGAAUGAAUCCAUGCAUGCCUGUUCAAUGAAUUGCAGUCAGAGCAAAGACUCUGAGCUCCUCAAUGGCAAGAAUAUUUCAGGUUCUGCCCUUGAUACAGCUCAGGACGAUUUCAGUGAUUUUAGUGCUAAAGUUGUUAUGGAGGACAUCUCUAGAGUGCACCUGCUAGGCCUCUCGGAUUCACAUUCAAGCAACACAUGCGAUAGUCACAUAUAUCCAAUCCAUAAGAAUCAUUAUACGAGAGAUGUUUAUGGAACCGACAUGGUGGCUAUAUCGUCAGAAGUACCUUUUUCUGGUUGCAGUACUCAGUGCAGGAUGAACACAGAAGAUUCUGAAAUUCCUUGCAACGAUGAUGCCCUUAUGCAUGGUCAGCCUCCUAUAGAGUGCACCUCUACUUCUGACAAGAAUCUUCACUACAUUACGUGUUUAGUUUCCAUGGAACCUAGCCCUCCAGAAAAUGCUGGUGAUUCUAAUCACUUCGACUCGGUUGAAGAUGCCCAACCUUCGCCGGCAGCAAUGAAGAUGAAACCAUCCACCUUUGUAGAAAGGGAAAAUAGGAUGGCUUUAAAUGAAGCAUGCAAUUUAGGAAAUCAAGUCUCCGAUGAAAUAAACUGCAAGUUUCUUGCUGAUAAGCCAAACAUAAGCUGUGAGGCUGCUAUUGGAAACUGUAUGUCAUCACAUGGAUUGCCAGAUAUGGAAUUUCAUAAUCCCAUUGCAAGCAUGUCCAGUUCAGAUCAAGCAGAAGGAGGAUCUGACAAUGAGAACUAUGUUCCAAACUAUUUUGACAUAGAAGCUUUGAUCCUUAAUCAAGAUCUAAUUCCAUGGGAUCAAGAAUCUGAUUUCAUCCAACCUGAAGUUUCAAGGUUUCAGCACCUUAAAAGCAGGAAGGACUUGAUAAGACUAGAGCAAGGUGCUCGGUCUUAUAUGAACAGGUCUAUUAUGUCCCAGGGUGCUUUUGCAAUUAUUUAUGGCAGAUAUCUGAAGUACUACAUUAAGGAUCCUGAAGUAACUCUUGGGAGAGAAACGGGAGAGGUACAUGUUGAUAUUGAUCUAGCAAAAGAAGGGAAUGCAAAUAAAAUAUCUCGUCGACAGGCAUACAACCAUGCUGUAUGGUCCAAGCCAUGGACAAACAAAACGAAGUACGGCAUCCAGGAUGGCACAGCACAUGCAACUUGAGGUUAACCGCCUGUUUGGAUUACUUGAAGCACUGAUCAAGCCUAGGAAGAAGGCAAUACGAAAUCAUAUUUGAUAUCGGCACUGCAGAUAAACACCGGUGCUCACAGUUGUCUACUGAAUUGACUGAAUAUAUUUUUCUGGAUAAUGGAAGAGAAUAUCUCCCCCAGCUUUUACACCAGUCAGUCAACUAUUUAUAGCCAGUAGGAUUCUAUCUUUGUACACUCUUAUCCAAACUAUGAUACAGGAAUGUCAAAUCUUUCCACACACCAUCAACACAACCCUUAACUUUAAUACAGAUAAGUGGUCAUGGUGCGAAGUAUGAUAACGGCAAGAUGGCGACUCAAGUGAUGGGUUCGUCUUUUAUUCGGAUCUACUCGCACGUCUCCUCAUUUGGACCGACCUGAGAUCGGAUAUGCACUGAACCUGCCAGCAACAGAUCUAGCAUGUUGAAUGAAUAGAGAUUGACAGUCACAAGGCAGUUAUCAAGAUGGACGAAGUUGGAUCCUUCCAUAUAAAAAAUAUUGGAAAAUAUCCAAUCUUUGUUAACGGCAAAGAAGUACCACGUAACAAACGUAUUAACUUGAU